ACUCAUUCCGACAGCAUCUUAUGGAGCCCUGUACCACAGACCCUGUACCACAGACGGUCACAGACAGGGUUUGUUUUUCAUGCACACGAUGUACUACAUCAUACACUCAAUUUAAUUUAUCAUGCCCAGGAAAUACUAAAUCAUGCUCACGAAAUCCCUAAAACGUGUGCAUGGUUUACUUUUCCUCACUGUUAGUGGCCCCUACAGGCUCUGUAGCAUCUAGUUAUCUGAACUGCUACUCCGUAAAUGACUGAUUAAAUACAAAGCCCAGCCUGGGAUUUAAAACGGCGAUCUUUCGGUCACAGGCACUGACCUGCUACUACGUAAAUGAUUAAAUACAGAGCCCAGCCUGGGAUUUAAAACGGCGAUCUUUCGGUCACAGGCACUGACCUGCUACUACGUAAAUGAUUAAAUACAGAGCCCAGCCUGGGAUUUAAAACGGCGAUCUUUCGGUCACAGGUACUGACCUGCUACUCCGUAAAUGAUUAAAUACAGAGCCCAGCCUGGGAUUUAAAACGGCGAUCUUUCGGUCACAGGCACUGACCUGCUACUACGUAAAUGAUUAAAUACAGAGACCCGCCUGGGAUUUAAAACGGCGAUCUUUCGGUCACAGGUACUGACCUGCUACUCCGUAAAUGACUGAUUAAAUACAGAGCCCAGCCUGGGAUUUAAAACGGCGAUCUUUCGGUCACAGGCACUGACCUGCUACUACGUAAAUGAUUAAAUACAGAGCCCAGCCUGGGAUUUAAAACGGCGAUCUUUCGGUCACAGGCACUGACCUGCUACUACGUAAAUGACUGAUUAAAUACAGAGCCCAGCCUGGGAUUUAAAACGGCGAUCUUUCGGUCACAGGUACUGACCUGCUACUACGUAAAUGACUGAUUAAAUACAGAGCCCAGCCUGGGAUUUAAAACGGCGAUCUUUCAGUCACAGGUAUUGACCUGCUACUACGUAAAUGAGUGAUUAAAUACAGAGCCCAGCCUGGGAUUUAAAACGGCGAUCUUACGGUCACAGGUACUGACCUGCUACUACGUAAAUGAGUGAUUAAAUACAGAGCCCAGCCUGGGAUUUAAAACGGCGAUCUUACGGUCACAGGCACUGACCUGCUACUACGCAAAUUAGUGAUUAAAUACAGAGCCCAGCCUGGGAUUUAAAACGGCGAUCUUUCGGUCACAGGUACUGACCUGCUACUCCGUAAAUGAUUAAAUACAGAGCCCAGCCUGGGAUUUAAAACGGCGAUCUUUCGGUCACAGGUACUGACCUGCUACUCCGUAAAUGAUUAAAUACAGAGACCCGCCUGGGAUUUAAAACGGCGAUCUUUCGGUCACAGGCACUGACCUGCUACUACGUAAAUGAUUAAAUACAGAGACCCGCCUGGGAUUUAAAACGGCGAUCUUACGAUCACAGGCACUGUCCUGUUGAGUCACACACCUCACACAAACCAGCUACACUAAAGG